GACGAACGCUGGCGGCGUGCUUAACACAUGCAAGUCGAAGGGGGUGGCGCACGGGUUAGUUACACGUGAGUAACCUGCCCUUUUCUUUGGUCUGAGCCUGGGAAACUGGGUCUAAUACUGGAUGGUUUGGGAUGGGCUCGCUGCUUAUCAGCUUGUGGGGGGGGUGAUGGCUUACCAAGGCUUUGACGGGUAGCCGGCCUGAGAGGGUGGUCGGUCACACUGGAACUGAGACACGGCCCAGACUCCUACGGGAGGCAGCAGUGGGGGAUAUUGCACAAUGGACGAAAGGCUGAUGCAGCGAUGUCGUGUGGGGGAUGAAGGUCUUCGGAUCGUAAAACUCUGUUAUUAGGGAAGACGUACCUAAUCAGAAAGCCACGGCUAACUACGUGCCAGCAGCCGCGGUAAUAC
rnacentral:rRNA from 1 species